GCCUUGCUGGCUUAGUCGGUAGAGCAUGUGACUGUUGAUCUUGGGGUUGUGAGUUGGAGCCCCAUGUUGGGUA
rnacentral:tRNA from 1 species